UWUKAACCSAWAGGKGUUCUCUUCCAGWCCCYSUUUUCCCCGCUSGCCCCSSCYRARGGGGKGRMWRAUWUUUUUYKRWWWAACCCUUAGAGUUUGAUCCUGGCUCAGAACGAACGCUGGCGGCGUGCUUAACACAUGCAAGUCGAACGUGAUCCGGAGCUUGCUCCGGUGAAAGUGGCGCACGGGUGAGUAUCGCGUGGAUAACCUGCCCUGGUAUCUGGGAUAACAUCUCGAAAGGGGUGCUAAUACCGGAUAAGCCCACGGACUCCUCGGAGUCUGCGGGAAAAGGUGGCCUCUAUUUAUAAGCUACCGUAUCAGGAUGGGUCCGCGUACCAUUAGCUAGUUGGUGGGGUAAUGGCCUACCAAGGCUACGAUGGUUAGCUGGUCUGAGAGGAUGAUCAGCCACACUGGAACUGAGACACGGUCCAKACUCCUACGGGAGGCAGCAGUGGGGAAUUUUGCGCAAUGGGGGAAACCCUGACGCAGCAACGCCGCGUGAGUGAUGAAGGCUUUCGGGUCGUAAAGCUCUGUCAGAGGGGAAGAAAUGAAACGUGCUAAUAUCACGUUUUCUUGACGGUACCCUCAAAGGAAGCACCGGCUAACUCCGUGCCAGCAGCCGCGGUAAUAC
rnacentral:rRNA from 1 species